rnacentral:rRNA from 1 species
UUAAAGUGUCCUUCCACCCUGAACGCGCCUGACCUCAUCUGAUCUCAGAAGCUAAGCAGGGUCGGGCCCGGUUAGUAUCUGGAUGGGAGACCGCCUGGAAAUCCCUGGUGCUGUAGG